rnacentral:lncRNA from 1 species
AUGGAAGACAGCACAGUCUUGUCAAAUUGGACGAUUGGCAACAAACAAAAAAUGACAUACGACUUUUCAUGUGAGCUCUACCGAAUGUCUACAUAUUCAACUUUCCCCGCCGGUGUUCCUGUCUCAGAAAGGAGUCUUGCUCGUGCUGGUUUUUAUUACACUGGUGUGAAUGACAAGGUCAAAUGCUUCUGUUGUGGCCUGAUGCUGGAUAACUGGAAACAAGGAGACAAUCCUAUUGAGAAGCAUAAACAACUGUAUCCGAGCUGUAGCUUUAUUCAGAAUCUAGUUUCUGUUACUAGUCUGGAAUCUACUUCUAAGAAUGCUUCUUCUCCAAUGAGAAACAGUUUUACGCACUCAUUAUCACCCACUUUGGAACAUGGUAGAUCAUUCAGUGGUUCUUAUUCCAACCUUUCACCAAACCCUAUCGAAGACUUUUCCCCAUUGAGGACUAACCCCUACAGUUAUGCCAUGAGUACUGAAGAAGCGAGAUUUCUUACUUAUCAAAUGUGGCCAUUAACCUUUCUGUCACCAUCAGAAUUGGCAAGAGCUGGCUUUUAUUAUAUAGGACCUGGAGACAGGGUAGCCUGCUUUGCCUGUGGUGGGACGCUAAAUAACUGGGAACCAAAGGAUGAUGCCAUGUUAGAACACCAGAAACAUUUUCCCAGCUGUCCAUUUUUGGAAAAUUCUCUGGAAACGCUGAGGUUCAGCAUUUCAAAUUUGAGUAUGCAGACACAUGCAGCUCGCCUGAGAACAUUUAUGUACUGGCCAUCUACUGUAUCAGUUCAGCCCGAGCAGCUUGCAAGUGCUGGUUUCUAUUAUGUAGGUCGCAACGACGAUGUCAAGUGCUUUUGUUGUGAUGGUGGCUUAAGGUGUUGGGAAUCUGGAGAUGACCCAUGGGUAGAACACGCCAAAUGGUUUCCAAGGUGUGAGUUCUUGAUACGAAUGAAAGGGCAGGAGUUUGUUAGUGAGGUUCAAGCCAGAUAUCCUCAUCUUCUUGAACAGCUCUUGUCAACUGCAAAUACUUCUGGAGAUGAAAAUGCUGAUCCACCAAUUGUUCAUUUUGGACCUGGAGAAAGUUCUUCAGAUGAUGCAGUCAUGAUGAAUACACCUGUGGUUAAAGCUGCCUUGGAAAUGGGCUUUAGUAGAAGCCUGGUAAAGCGGACAGUUCAGAGUAAAAUCCUAACAACUGGAGAGAAUUACAAAACAGUUAAUGAUAUUGUGUCAGCACUUCUUAAUGCUGAAGAUGAGAAAAGAGAAGAAGAAAAGGAGGAAGAGAAGGAAAGACAAACUGAAGAAACAGCAUCAGAUAAUUUGUCAUUACUUCGGAGGAAUAGAAUGGCUCUCUUUCAACAGUUGACGUGUGUGCUUCCUAUCCUGGAUAAUCUUUUAAAGGCCAAUGUAAUUAAUAAACAGGAGCAUGAUAUUAUUAAGCAAAAAACACAGAUACCUUUACAAGCAAGAGAACUGAUUGAUACCGUUUUAGUUAAAGGAAAUAGUGCUGCCAACAUCUUCAAAAACUGUCUUAAGGAAAUUGACCCUACAUUAUAUAAGAACUUGUUUGUGGAAAAGAAUAUGAAGUAUAUUCCAACAGAUGUUUCAGGUCUGUCCCUGGAAGAGCAGUUGAGAAGGCUGCAAGAAGAAAGAACUUGUAAAGUGUGUAUGGACAAAGAAGUUUCUAUUGUAUUCAUUCCUUGUGGUCAUCUGGUAGUAUGCCAGGAAUGUGCCCCUUCUCUAAGAAAAUGCCCUAUUUGCAGAGGUAUAAUUAAGGGUACUGUUCGUACAUUUCUCUCAUAA